UACGGAAGGCAGCAGUGGGGAAGUAAUUGCACAAUGGGCGCAAGCCUGAUGCAGCCAUGCCGCGUGUAUGAAGAAGGCCUUCGGGUUGUAAAGUACUUUCAGUCGUGAGGAAGGUGUUAAGGUUAAUAACCUUAGCAAUUGACGUUAGCGACAGAAGAAGCACCGGCUAACUCCGUGCCAGCAGCCGCGGUAAUACGGAGGGUGCGAGCGUUAAUCGGAAUUACUGGGCGUAAAGGGCACGCAGGCGGUUAAUUAAGUUGGAUGUGAAAUCCCCGGGCUUAACCUGGGAAUGGCAUUCAAGACUGGUUAGCUAGAGUCUUGUAGAGGGGGUAGAAUUCCAUGUGUAGCGGUGAAAUGCGUAGAGAUGUGGAGGAAUACCGGUGGCGAAGGCGGCCCCCUGGACAAAGACUGACGCUCAUGUGCGAAAGCGUGGGGAGCAAA
rnacentral:rRNA from 1 species